CCUGAUUUUAUGUAUUUUAAUGGUUAUUUCUCUCAGAAUGCUGUUGAAACCAUAUUGAAACCUCCUUCUCAAAAAAACAAAAAUGCACCUAGAAUCUAAUCACUGCUUUCCCACUCAGUGCCUGUUCCCUGGUCCAGCCUCCAGCACAGCUCACCUGAGCCAACACACAGUCACCCCUACCUGGACCCCAGUUCCUGCCCUCACCCCCCACAGGCUGUCUCCCCACCAGCAGCCACCAGAGGGUGCUUUUGAGCACCUGAGUCACUUCCUAUCCCUCCUCUGCUCACAACCCUCCAUGGCUCCCACCUCUCUCAGGGUCAAAGCCCAAGGCCUCCCCAUGUCUCACCAGGUCUGGCAUGACCUGCCCCAUCCCCUCCCUGCCCUCUCCUCUUCCCUUUCUCCCCAUUGCUCACUCUGCUCCUCCUCACUGUUCCUCCAACACACCAGGUGAAGUCCUGCCGCAGGGCCUUUGCACAGGCUGUGCCCUCUGGUGGACCCAGGUAUUUCCAAGGCUCACUCCCUCUCUUCCUUCAAACCUUGGUUCCAAGGUUACCUCCUCAGAGGGCCUUUCCUGCCUGAGCCUGGCUAAGUGGUAGCCAGUCCUACCUGGCCUUGGAACUCACAAACUUGGUACCUAUCAUUUAUACAUGUCCUUCCAGGGCGGCGCAGUGGCUCACGCCUGCAGUCCCAGUACUUUGGGAGGCUGAGGGUGGCAGAUAGCUUGAGGCCUGGAGUUCAAGACCAGCCUAACCAACACACUGAAACCCUGC
rnacentral:lncRNA from 10 species